rnacentral:rRNA from 1 species
GAGAAUCGCAUGAUUUUCUUAUCAAAGAUUUAUUGCUUUGAGAUGGACCCGCGGCGCAUUAGCUAGUUGGUAAGGUAACGGCUUACCAAGGCAACGAUGCGUAGCCGACCUGAGAGGGUGAUCGGCCACAUUGGAACUGAGACACGGUCCAGACUCCUACGGGAGGCAGCAGUGGGGAAUAUUGCGCAAUGGGGGAAACCCUGACGCAGCAACGCCGCGUGGGUGAUGAAGGUCUUCGGAUUGUAAAGCCCUGUUUUCUAGGACGAUAAUGACGGUACUAGAGGAGGAAGCCACGGCUAACUACGUGCCAGCAGCCGCGGUAAUACGUAGGUGGCGAGCGUUGUCCGGAUUUACUGGGCGUAAAGGGUGCGUAGGCGGAUGUUUAAGUGGGAUGUGAAAUCCCCGGGCUUAACCUGGGGGCUGCAUUCCAAACUGGAUAUCUAGAGUGCAGGAGAGGAAAGCGGAAUUCCUAGUGUAGCGGUGAAAUGCGUAGAGAUUAGGAAGAACACCAGUGGCGAAGGCGGCUUUCUGGACUGUAACUGACGCUGAGGCACGAAAGCGUGGGUAGCAAACAGGAUUAGAUACCCUGGUAGUCCACGCCGUAAACGAUGGAUACUAGGUGUAGGGGGUAUCAACUCCCCCUGUGCCGCAGUUAACACAAUAAGUAUCCCGCCUGGGGAGUACGGUCGCAAGAUUAAAACUCAAAGGAAUUGACGGGGGCCCGCACAAGCAGCGGAGCAUGUGGUUUAAUUCGAAGCAACGCGAAGAACCUUACCUGGACUUGACAUCCCUUGCAUAGCCUAGAGAUAGGUGAAGCCCUUCGGGGCAAGGAGACAGGUGGUGCAUGGUUGUCGUCAGCUCGUGUCGUGAGAUGUUAGGUUAAGUCCUGCAACGAGCGCAACCCUUGUUAUUAGUUGCUACCAUUAAGUUGAGCACUCUAAUGAGACUGCCUGGGUAACCAGGAGGAAGGUGGGGAUGACGUCAAAUCAUCAUGCCCCUUAUGUCCAGGGCUACACACGUGCUACAAUGGUAGGUACAAUAAGACGCAAGACCGUGAGGUGGAGCAAAACUUAUAAAACCUAUCUCAGUUCGGAUUGUAGGCUGCAACUCGCCUACAUGAAGCUGGAGUUGCUAGUAAUCGCGAAUCAGAAUGUCGCGGUGAAUACGUUCCCGGGCCUUGUACACACCGCCCGUCACACCAUGAGAGCUGGUAACACCCGAAGUCCGUGAGGUAACCGUAAGGAGCCAGCGGCCGAAGG